rnacentral:rRNA from 1 species
AUGAACGCUGGCGGCGUGCCUAAUACCUGCAAGUCGCGCGAACAGACGAGGAGCUUGCUCCUCUGACGUUAGCGGCGGACGGGUGAGUAACACGUGGAUAACCUACCUAUAAGACUGGGAUAACUUCGGGAAACCGGAGCUAAUACCGGAUAAUAUAUUGAACCGCAUGGUUCAAUAGUGAAAGACGGUUUUGCUGUCACUUAUAGAUGGAUCCGCGCCGCAUUAGCUAGUUGGUAAGGUAACGGCUUACCAAGGCAACGAUGCGUAGCCGACCUGAGAGGGUGAUCGGCCACACUGGAACUGAGACACGGUCCAGACUCCUACGGGAAGCAGCAGUAGGGAAUCUUCCGCAAUGGGCGAAAGCUUGACGGAGCAACGCCGCGUGAGUGAUGAAGGUCUUCGGAUCGUAAAACUCUGUUAUUAGGGAAGAACAAAUGUGUAAGUAACUAUGCACGUCUUGACGGUACCUAAUCAGAAAGCCACGGCUAACUACGUG